rnacentral:lncRNA from 1 species
UAUAAUCGGGGAAAUCAAUCAAUUUUUUUAAACGAAACCACAGCCGAAUGUUAUAAAGUCAAUUUUAGGCUCUCAAAAUUUGCGAUGUCAUGUUAAGAAAGGCUGUGGAGAAUGGACUUUACUAUAAUUUUGUAGAUUCUCUGUAUGUAUUCAACUAACAAAAACAUCACUAUAUAGUUAUUGAGAUGUGAUUCAGGAUGAAGCAGGAUGAUUUUAAUGUAUCGGCAUAAGUCACAACGUAUAUAAAGUUGAAGUCAAACGACAAUAUUAGGAACUGGAAUGCAAUUGAUCAAACCUGUAGUUUAACGAAAUUAUUAUGACUGUAAAUUGCUAGUUGUUCAGCAUCAAUUACAUGGCAAACUAUCUUGGGAAAUUGAUGUAAUUUCUCCGAAUCAUAAACCGUGGAAUAUUUCAAUACAUCAAAAUCAUCCCAUAUCUCAACCCA